UACGGGGGGAGCAAGCGUUGUUCGGAUUUACUGGGCGUAAAGGGCGCGUAGGCGGCGCAACAAGUCACUUGUGAAAUCUCCGGGCUUAACCCGGAGCGGUCAAGUGAUACUGUCGUGCUAGAGUGCGGAAGGGGCUACUGGAAUUCUCGGUGUAGCGGUGAAAUGCGUAGAUAUCGAGAGGAACACCUGCGGCGAAGGCGGGUAGCUGGGCCGACACUGACGCUGAUGCGCGAAAGCGUGGGGAGCGAUCCGG
rnacentral:rRNA from 1 species